UUGACAGUUAAAAGCACACUGUAGACGCCAUGACUAGUUCAACAAACUAAAGUGGUUAUGGUGCCUAGUGUCUGUAAGUUACACAAAAUGUUUUACUGGCUGUUUAGUAGAGAAUUUCGAUGCUUGGCAGCUUGAAGCCCGGGGACAAUGAAAAAAUGGUAGAGGCAAAACUAUGCUUAGCUUCAUGCCAUAACAGGGUUAACAGGCAUGAAUAGGCUGAG